GUUAGGGCUGCACCUGAAGCAUAUGGAUGUUCCCUGGCUAGGGGUCGAAUUGGAGCUGCAACCUGCUGGCCUACACCACAGCCAACGCUAGAUCCGAGCCUACACCACAGCUCCCGGCAAUGCCAGAUCACUUAACCCACUGAGUGAGGCCAAGGAUUAAACCUGCAUCCUCAGGGACACUAGGUUGGGUUCUUAACCUGCUGAUCCACAACAGGAACUACAAAACUUAAUUUCUUAUAAAAGGAACUGAAUGCAAAUUUUGGAGACCGCUUCCACAGACGUUGGAUAUUGAUACAGAAGACCUCACUGAUGUGUGUCCCAGUGGCGUGUACUGACUCAUGCCAGGGGCAUCUUUAACAUGGACCUUUCACGAGGCACAGAAAUAAAAUUCACUAAGAAACAUGACCAUUCAAGAGGAUGACACUUCGUGUGUGCACAGAUGUUUUUAUGGCACAACUGUAGGUUCCAGAGGAGUUAUUUCAACACCAAAGUCCUCGUUUUCCCCAGGCAGCUGGGAAAGAGAGCUUUGUAGGAAGCAAAGGCAGAAGCAGCUGAGAAAAAGGACCCACGAGUGAGUUUUGCCCAGUUUUGUGACGCCUACUACUCCAGCCUUGGGGAGGAGCCCGGACACCACAAAUGACAAUUUUAAUUGACCCUCUGCCCGUUUGAUGAAGACAAGGUAAGUUAAGUGACAUUUUUUUUUUUAAUCCUCAGCUUUUUGCUUUUAUUUUUAUUUAUGGAUGUUUUGAAUUUUUUUAAAGUUUGAAGUAUUUAAAAAAUUGAGGUGUAGCUGAUUUAUACUCUAAGCUUCAGGUGUACAGCACAGUGAUGCAUCAUUUUUAAAGGUUAUACUCCAUGUGUAGUGACUACAAAAGAUGGGCUAUUGUCCCCGUGCUGUGUAAUAUAUCCUAGUAGCUUAUUUAUUAUAUACAUAGUAGUUUGUGUCUCUCAACCCCCUUCUUAGCCCCUCCCCACGGUAACCACUAAAGUAGUAUUUUUAUUAAUAGGAAAAAAAAAAAAACCAACCCUUAGUUAGAGCCAAAAUAAAUAUACCAACGUCAUUGGCUCUGUUUUUUAUCUAGAGCCUUCCUGCUUCAAGGAAGGAGCAACACGGGGUUCUGAAAGCCUCCUCCCUCCGUAUCUCCUCGGGAAGCAAGAAUUAUCUCGAGGCAGGAAAAAGAAGGUGAGCAAAGUUUUAAUUGUGUUUUUUUUUUUUUCCUUCCCCUCAAAUGAGUGAGGAGAAUUAUGCAUGGUGAGAGAAAAGGGGACCAGCACAUAAGUCAGUGACGUAAAUAGGAUUGUAGGCAGAUGUUUCAUUUAUUCAUGGGAAAACAUCAGGCUUUUCCGAGCAUCCAUUUUUGCAUUAACUGUGCUGAUAACAAAUGGUCAUUGCCAGUUUCUGUCAAGCUGUGUUUAUGAAUUGGAAACAACCUUUAGUCAACAACUUAUAUGCCUUGAAGCAACACAACUUGUUUUCUUAGAAGGAUCCCGUAAUUUAGGUCAAAUUAAUGUAAAAUGACUUUCUCUCCAAAAGCCUAAACUAGAGACAUUUUACUGGCCCAAUAAUUAAUACUGCAUCACACAUCUACUUUCCUGUGAACCCAGUACCGGUGUGGCUUUUUUGUUGUUGUUGCUGUUGUCUUUUUAGGGCUGGACCUGCAGCUAUGGAAGUUCUCAGGCUAUGGGUCGAACUGGAGCUACAGCUGGCCGCCUACACCACAGCCACUCCAAUGCGGGAUCUGAGCCACGUCUGUAAUCUAUACCACAACGCACGGCAACGCAGCAAGAGAAACACCAACAACAAUUUCUCAGCCACAGUUCUUAAGGGAAAUCAGCAUAAAAAAAGCAUUGGAUUAUAUGCUUAUUUUAACAUAUGGGGUUAUUUUUUUAUGGCCCACCCUGUUUUUCAGUUUAUGAAUACGAUACCAAAUAAAUGAUGCCAUUUGAGCUCAAAGGACCAAUCCAUGUCUCUAUCCCGAAGAAGCUAAUCAAAACUAUCAGUGUUUCAUACAUAAAGGAUAUUGCCAUUCCAUGCCACAGGGCUCUGUACACAGACCUUUUUUUUUUGUUCAGUUCAGCAGAACAGUAUAAUCAAAAUAAAAUCAGAAUCUAUACAACACUAGUGAAUAUUGCACCAGCAAUGCUGAUCAAUUCAAAUCAAAUUAUAUUCGGUAACAAUAAGUUACAUAACUGUGUACUUUUUGACAAUGUACAGACUGUUAUCGAAGCACAGGACUGCGUAAGUCGAGCAGGGAAUGAUGCGUAGUAACUGAUGCAGGAUUUCUAAGUUUUAGGUUGUUGUCAAGAAGAUCCAAAUCAGAAGAGAAUGGGACAUCCAUGUUUAGAAUAGGCUUCUCCACUAGUCCAGUCUAGAAUAUAAUACUUUCUUUAAAGAUGUGGUUCAAUGUCCACUUUUUCAGGAACACCACCCCCCAUCUUAAAUCCAUCUUUAACCUCAGGGCUCUUGAGGUUAAAACCUGUGUGAAUGAAUGCUUGAUUGAAGGGAAGGAAUCAUGAGCCAGGGUGAUUAACAGAAGUGUGUGUCAGACGGCUCUGGCACAGCUAAAGAUUGAGAAAUGAAUGCUGUCUGUCCUAAAGCCACCAAAAGAUACUUGGUAUAUAAUAGGUUCUUCAGGUGUUCAUCAAAUAAAAGAAAAAUAGAGUUCCGUCAUGGCUCAGUGGUUAACGAAUCCGACUAGGAACCAUGGGGUUGCGGGUUUGAGCCCUGGCCUUGCUCAGUGGGUUAAGGAUCCAGCAUUGCUGUGAGCUGUGGUGUAGGUUGCAGAUGCGGCUCGGAUCCCGCACACAUACAAAGCCUCAUCCGUGUGCGGGGGAGGGGAGUGUGCAAGCACACGUGUGGGAGUCACUGUGCUCACACGUGAGCGCACACACACACACACACACACUCACUCCUACGUACCACAGCAGGAUCAGGACAAACACCCUAAGACAAAUGCAAACCAACCAUGGCUAAGUCCCAAACUGAAGAUUUUCUCCGGAAAUAAACUUGGAAAACAAGAGCUUUAGCCACGAUGGACCUUUCAGCCCAUCUGGUGGCCACUGCACAUCUAUUUCUUCUAAUAUUCGAAUCUCAGUGCCUGUUGCAGAAACAAUGCUCCCAUAGGACAAUUCGCUUCCGAAGGACAAGAGGGCUUGCUUUUCGUCUGCGUGUCCAAAAAAAAGUGGCAAAGUCAUAUUCCUUCUCAAUUCAAGUUGGAGCAGAGCUGCCCUGGCUUGCUGCCAGCAGUUCUUAAAGAGGACUGGCCACAUGGCUGGACACGGGGGCAGACUCUGCACCAAGAAAUAGGCACACGUCCUCUGGCGACACGCUGAGGGCUCAUCGUGGGGGUGAGCGAGAGGGGGUUGUGCGUACUAAGUGAGGGCGUGUGAUACUGUUCACACCAAAGCCCCAGGUCACACUCUCUUUCCUCCACCUGCCUGGUGUCACAAUAGCUCCUGUCCUCUCCCCUCUUCUUCUUUUAAUUACUCAAUGAAUGUUAUUACAUUUAUAGUUGUACAACGAUCACCACAACCCAACUUUAUAGCAUUUCCUUCCCAAACCCCCAGGGCAUCCCCCUACCCCCCAACUUGUCUCAUUUGCAAACCCUAAGUUUUUCAAAGUCUGUGAGUCAGUAUCUGUUCUGCAAAGACAUUCAUUGUGUCCUUUUUUUAAGAUUCCACAUGUAAGUGUCAGCAUAUGAUAUUGGUAUCUCACUGUCUGACUUCAUUUAGCAUGAUAAUUUCUAGGUCCAUCCAUGUUGCUGCAAAUGCCAUUAUUUUUCUCCUUUUAAUGGCUGAGUAAUAUUCCACUGUAUAUAUAUAUACCACAUCUUCUUGAUCCCCUCCUCUGUUGAUGGGCAUUUAGGUUGUUUCCAUGUCUUGGCUAUUGUAUAAAGUGCUGCAGUGAACACUGGAGUACAUGCGUCUCCUCUUCUAACACCUUUGAAAUCUCUGCCUUCAAUGAACAGAAGCUCCGAGACAGCUAUAAUGCUGUUUGGUGAUGUUCUUGACUCUUUGAUUUGAAAAGAUUCCCCCUCCCCUU
ensembl:lncRNA